rnacentral:rRNA from 1 species
UACGUAGGGUGCGAGCGUUGUCCGGAAUUAUUGGGCGUAAAGGGCUCGUAGGCGGUUUGUCGCGUCGGGAGUGAAAUCCACUGGCUUAACUGGUGGCUUGCUUUCGAUACGGGCAGACUGGAGGUAUGCAGGGGAGAACGGAAUUCCUGGUGUAGCGGUGAAAUGCGCAGAUAUCAGGAAGAACACCAGUGGCGAAGGCGGCUCACUGGACCGGUACUGACGCUGAUGCGCGAAAGCGUGGGGAGCAAACGGG